GAUGAACGCUAGCUACAGGCUUAACACAUGCAAGUCGAGGGGUAACGAGAGGGAAGCUUGCUUUCCUUGUCGACGACCGGCGCACGGGUGAGUAACGCGUAUCCAACCUGCCCACAACUAGAGAAUAACCUUGCGAAAGUAAGACUAAUGCUCUAUAAUUUCCUUAGAUGGCAUCUGACGAGGAAUAAAGAUUUAUCGGUUAUGGAUGGGGAUGCGUCUGAUUAGCUUGUUGGCGGGGUAACGGCCCACCAAGGCAACGAUCAGUAGGGGUUCUGAGAGGAAGGUCCCCCACAUUGGAACUGAGACACGGUCCAAACUCCUACGGGAGGCAGCAGUGAGGAAUAUUGGUCAAUGGGCGCAAGCCUGAACCAGCCAAGUAGCGUGCAGGAUGACGGCCCUAUGGGUUGUAAACUGCUUUUAUACAGAGAUAAAGUUAGUCACGUGUGGCUAUUUGCAGGUACUGUAUGAAUAAGGACCGGCUAAUUCCGUGCCAGCAGCCGC
rnacentral:rRNA from 1 species